UGCCUCCUGAUGGCUUACCAUAGGCUGUGUUCUUACACUGUCUGUAUAGAUAAAGAGGAGGGAAAGUAAACCUAUUCCAAUAUACCUCAGCCCAGGCCCUGUGCUGGGUUUUUAUUGUGAAAGGGGAGACAUAG
rnacentral:snoRNA from 1 species